rnacentral:misc_RNA from 1 species
GUGAAUCAUCGAAUUUUUGAACGCAAAUUGCACUCUCCGGUUUUCCGGGAGAGUAUGCCUGUUUGAGGGUCAGCCUAAAAAAAAUCGACAUUGUUGCUGUUUUAUGGUGACUUUCGUCGGAGAUGGGUUACCUUAAAUCUCGGUUUAAGCGACUUAAAAAUUUUUUUUAGGAUUUUAGGAUGGUUUUUAGGAUUUUUUUUGUAGUUUUAGGUAUU